AAAAAAAAACUUAACAAUUCAAUAACUUAAAUGAAAACUUUCAAAUAAUUUAAUGACUAUAUUGUAAAAUUAUGAAAUUAAGUAACCAAAAUAUAAAAUUACAAUAAUUCAAUACCCUUUAAUUUAAUUUAAUUAAAAAUUAUAUUUUUAAAAAUAUAAAAAUUUCAAUGCAAAACUGGAAAGCAAUUGGAAUAGAUGAAUACUAUCAUAAAAAUUUUAAUUUAAUUUUGAUGUGACUAAUCAAUUUAAAAAUUUAAAAUUAUGAAGAAAUUAGGUAUUUAAUUUUUUAUGUAACGAUAAGAUUAAUUAUAUUUUUUUCCUCUCAAAACAACAGAAAAGCAAUUAAAAAAUUAGGUGACGUCAGAUCCCUCGUGCGGCCAAACCCUAAACCUUCCCACUUUUUUUUUCUUCCUACCUAACCGAAUAAAAUUUAAAAAGAAAAAAAAAUUCUAUUUUUCUUGCUCUCUUCAUCAAUUUAGAACAUAAUUUAUUUUCCUCCUUUAUUUUCCUUUUUUCUUUUCCAUUGCUUUGAAUAAAUUUGCUGUGAUCUUUGAAAAUCAUGGCUUACGCAUCUCGUAUCAUCAAUCACUCUAAAAAGGUACCCAAUUCACGAUUCGUUACUUGUAUGUAUGGAUAAUGGAUGUAUGUAUGGAUGACUUUGAGUCAGUCCUAGAUUCAAAUUCGUUUAUAGAUCAUGGUCGAAUUGUAGCUUUUUAUUUAUGUUUUUUUUUAGCUUUGUUAUUUGUUCUGAAUUUCUGUUAUUACAGUUAAGGAAUGUUCCUAACUUAUUGCGGCAAGAUCAUGCUGUUUUGGUUCGUUGCUUUUCCAAUGGAGCACAAUCCUCUGUUUGUAAAAUUGAAGGUACAUAAUGCUAUCCAGAUAGUUUUCUUACUUGUUUCUCAUGUAUGUUAGGGUGGAAAACUUAAAGAAUUGAACAUAUGAAUGUUGGGCUUGUACCUGUAUCUGAUACUCACACUUGAGUCCGAGUAGCAUAAAUAUCAAGCUUUCUACAAUCAUUAAGCAUAAGAGCUAUUUUGUGUUUUAUUCAGCUAAGUAGACAAUCAAAAGCCUCCCAGUUAGAUGGUUUUAUUGAAGGUUUUAUCAUAUCUUGUAAGGUUUGCUUAUAUUUCUUGCUAGGUUCACUCGUACCAACCGGCUGGUUUACUAAUUUUUACUUUUUAACUUGUAAUUGUAUUUAGUGAGAGGUAAUAAUUUGUCAGUUUUCUGAAAGCAUAAUGGAGUCGAUAAAAUUUUGGUUAUGCAGCUGCAGAAAGAGAGAGGGUAUCCAAGUUUGUUGCAUGUAACCAUGUAAGUGCCUCCUCUUUUUAUCAUGGGUGGAGCAAUAAUUAGUGUAGCAUUUUUGUUUCAUAAUUUUCCUUUUUCUUUGCUGCAGACUAUGCUCUGCUUGUGUAUUACAUUCUUGAUUGAAUUCAAGACUUGGUUUGCCAAUACUAGCUGUUCCACAUCUUGUUAUGCAGGUAUCAUCUGGUUUACCUAGGAACAAUUGUUCUAGGGCAAUAAUGAGAUUGGGAAUUCCAACAGUUGGUGUGGCAUACAGCAGAGAGCUCACAUGGUAUUCAUUCCAGCAUUUUUUGUGAUCUUAUUGGAAAAUUUUACUAUUUCCUAGUAAUGGCUUUUUAAUCAUUUCAAGCAUCUAAACAUUUUCCCUCUAUCCAUUAUCAGUUCUCAGGUACAGUCAAGGAGAGGAUUUGCAUCAGAUGCAGGUAUAGAUUAUUGCUUUAAAUGUCAUAGGUUGUACUGGUAUCUUCUACUUUGUAUUCUCUGAAGGAGCCUAUUUUUUAAAUUGUGAAAAGAUGUGCACUGACUAGUGAUUACAACAAGAAUGUGUGUUUAACUUAUGAACCUACUAACUUCAUGCCAAAUGCUAAUUUGUGACUUAAUUGAUGAGCUGUAAUAUUAUAUUAUUCUUAAUUCCUUCUGUGGCUUGUUCAAUACCCUUCUUUAUGGGACAGCUCAGAUGAUAGGAAUGUAGUUUAUGGGUAAUAAAUUUGUGUAAUAUGAAGCUUGUUUAUCUGGUUUCUGAAUAAUAAGUAAUGUGACUGCACUAUAUUUAAGAAGCAAGGCAUUAUUACUAUAGUUCAUUCUUCUUCUCUCUUUUACAAGGCAUUGCUAUAGAACCUUUCUUUAUUACUAUUUUUGUUGUUCUAGUUUUAUCACUUAGGUUAUGCUGGAUUGAUGUAGCAUAUUUAGAUUUUUCAAGUUGUUUUCACCAGUAUAUAGGUUUGUUAUAUUUAUGGCUGAGAACAUGGCAGUUGAAAUGAUGUUUAAAAGUGUUUUAAGUUGAACCCUGUGCAUCGGUUCAAGGGUUUUACAUUGUUUAUUAACUGUUUCAUCAUUUUUUGUUGCAUGACAUACUCAAUAUUGCUAAUAUUAUAAAGUUUCAAGCCUCCCUCCUCACCAAGAGAUCGGAAUGCCUUCACUCUCUCCCACAAUGACAGAGGUGUGAACUGUUCUAGAUCUUUGCAAAAUAUCAUAAAAUAUUUUGUGGUUUUCUUUUAAGUUUUCCAUUUAUGCAGGGAAAUAUUGCUAGAUGGUUGAAGAAAGAGGGUGAUAAAGUGAAUCCUGGCGAAGUGCUGUGCGAAGUUGAAACUGUAAGGUUUUCUCCUGUCCAGAUAAAAUUUCUUCAUUUACUUUGCUCUUAUCAGAAGCCAGUAUUUUAUUUUACAACUUUGUUUAUUGUUUGAAGGAUAAAGCAACCGUUGAGAUGGAAUGCAUGGAAGAAGGUUACCUUGCCAAGAUUAUAAAGGGAGAUGGAUCAAAAGAAAUCAAAGUUGGUGAGGUAAUGAUUUUGUGGCAGUCAUGUGCACAUAUUUAUCUUUCUUUGGUCCUCCCUUUUGUGGAUAGGGGAGUUUGUAUGACUAGUAAAUAAAGAAGCAGCAUCUUGGCUUUGUAUUAGAUCUUCUGUCUGUUGCUCUUUUGCUACCAGAAUCAAAUACAAUUUAUGUCAAUAUUUGUGCAGUUAAUAUUAUUUAUUUGUUCUUGUGUAGAUAAUUGCCAUCACCGUUGAAGAGGAGGAGGAUAUUGCAAAGUUCAAGGACUAUAGUCCUUCAACAUCAGAUUCUGGUGCUCCUGCAGCAAAGGAGCCAGCAGCUCCUCCACCUAAGCAGGAGCCUGUUCAACAACCAGUUAGUUCACCAGAGGCUAAGUCCAAGCCCUGUUCACCUCCUUCGGAAGAUCGUCUUUUUGCAAGUCCACUUGCAAGAAAAAUGGCUGAAGAUCACAAGGUCAGUUAUAUUAUAUAUGAGUGCCGUAACUGGGAUUUUCUUGUUGAGAGAAAAGUCGUUACUAUAAGGAUAGAUUAUAGAAUCAUUUAUAUCAAUCUCUUUUAACAUUUCUCCACUCCUUUGGAUAAAAAUAUAGGUACCUCUCUCUAGUAUCAAAGGAACAGGUCCUGAUGGGCGCAUUGUGAAGGCUGAUAUUGAAGAUUACUUAGGUAUCAUAUUUAAAUUUCUGCAGCAUAACCAAUGCUGUUGCAAAUUUUGACCCUGAUGAGUAAUGCUAUAUAGUAAAGAAUGGCUCUUCCCCCCUCCAACAAAUCCUUUUGCCUUUUCAGUAUCUUCAAUAGUAUUGGUUUCUGUAUUACUGUCACUGCUUGUGAUUACUGGGGUGUUUUCACUUUAUUGUAGCUUCACGUGGGAAGGAUGUUUCAGCACCAACACCUAAGACAAAGGAUGGAAAACUUGAAGCUCUAGAUUAUGUAGAUAUCCCUCAUUCUCAGAUAAGAAAGGUUAGUUAAAAAUUGUCAUUAUUUUUAUAAUUUUAAUGAAAGUUCGAAGUUGUUAAGCAUUUAUGGUACAUGGGCUUUAUUCUAUGCAUCUACUUCUUAGUAGAUGGUCCCCUUUGUAGAAUUUAUGCAUUUGAUUUUGUUUUUGUGAUAAUCUGCAUUAAAUUUGAAAGGUAACCGUGCUACACGGCGGGAUUUAGAAGAUGUAAUUAAUUUUUUUCUCAAUUACUGUUCUGUUAUGAUGGUAUUUAUUUGAUUUAUGUGACGCGUUUGAUAAAUGUGUAUUUUCUGAACUUCAAUUAGUAAGGAAAAGAAAUAGGUAUAGCAAUAACAUUUUUUUUAUCUCAGCAAUGUUUGAGGAACAAUUUUCCUAUUUUUAAUUUUUAAAAUACAAAUUAGUUGAGUUUUUGCUUCAACAAGAAGCAUAUGACUUUCCAAUAAGUUUGUUAUUAUUAUUUUUUUGUAAGCUUUAGUAGAGUGUUGUAAUUUUUUUUUUUAAUUUGAAGAAUGAUUUGAAUUUUUUUCUAAAUACAAUCCUCCCAGCCUAACCCCCAAGUACACCAAGGUCAGAUAGGCAUCAUCUACUUACAGAUUGGUUUUUCAAAUUUUUUGAAAUCUCACAAUACCCUUAGUAAUUCUCAAAAUACCUUUUCUUGAUCUUUCUGAAGAUCAUCUCUGUGCGAAUAGUUUGACAUUUGUAGGUUACUUUAAUGAUAUACAUUAGAAAAAUCAACAUGUAGUGUUAAAUUUUUGAAAAGUUUAAGGUAAAUAAAUCUGUAGAAAACGUACCCAAAACAUGGUCCCAUGAGAAUUCCAGUCUCACUGGUUCCAAUGAAUUGGGUAGAAGCACCCUCCAAUCAUAGGCCUAAGGCAAGAGUGUGUCAAAAAGGAUUGGCAACUUUAAAUAGCACAAAAUGAGUGGGUAUUGAUAUAUAGAGGUUACAUAUUUUAUUAUUAUUUUGCCUAUCAUUUAUCACUGCUGUUUUUUCUACCCUAAUCUCACAAAACUAAAAGCUGGAAACCCUUCUAAAAUAACCAUCCUUGUGGCACUCUUAAAUACCCUAAAAUUGCCUGAGUCAGAAAUCAACUUAUUAUUAAAUAGCAAAGUUCCAAAUUUGACCAUUUUUGCAUGAGAAUACAGAGAAGUCGGUAUCUUUUAACUUCUUUGUUGUCUCCUCAUUUCAAUGUCAAUUACUUUGUUUCUUUUAUAAUAAUGUGCUUUGUGAGUCUAAUUUCUGCUAUCAUUUUUGACAGGUCACUGCAUCAGGCUUAUUAAUCUCAAAGCAGACCAUCCCACAUUACUAUUUAACAGUGGAUACAUGUGUUGACAAACUUCUGGAGUAAGUAAUAUUGCUUUGAUCUGUAAAAGUAUCAUGGACGUCCUUGUACUAAGAGUCAGAUUGCAUUUUUCCUCCUCUAAUAAAAAACCUGACUAAUUUGCUCUUUGCUCUUUGAUUUAACUUAUAGGGACUAAUUUGCCCAUUUUUUGAGUAGGGGAGGCAAAAUGCAAUCUGACUUCAAGAUACUUUUACCUGCUUUGAUCUUUUAAAUGGUAUGCAAUUAUAUGAUAUAUCUGAUAAUUUUGAAUUGUUUCUUUGCAUGCAGUUUGCGAAGCCAACUCAACUCAUUACAGGAAGCUUCAGGCGGGAAGCGUAUUUCUGUCAAUGAUCUUGUAAUCAAGGUAAACAACUUUCCUUCUGUUUUUUUUUUUCUUUUGUUUUUCCCUUGAAGUUCAAGGUUGACAACUUUCAAUACGUUUAAUUGUCGAGCUUUGAGAUGUUUGAAGUGGUUCCUCAUUUGUUGCUUUUGAUGUGGUCCAAGGUUUUUCCUAUAGGUUUUUGUGAAAUGGCAAGUGGUUAUUAUAAUGUUGAUUUCACAUGGCAAUUCUUGAUCAAGUUCAUGCCUUGUUACAUGUAUUUGCUUUUUCGUCCAUAUUAACCUUCAAUCAUUACAUGAAAUUACAUAACCAUUUCUCAAAUCAUUGUUUUCUUUUGGAAAUAUUUAAUUCAAAUGUAGUCUGAAAUGAAUGCUUUCACGUAAAUGGUAAUAUACUGCUUCUGCAGAGAAGAAAUUAGUGCAUAUUUGAUUUUUCCUAACUAAACCGCCAUUAGAAUAUUGCAAUUUUCAUUUAAGAUACUUAGAAGUCUUUUUUGACUGCAGGCUGCUGCAUUGGCUCUCCGGAAGGUUCCUCAGUGCAAUAGUUCAUGGACAGAUGACUAUAUUCGCCAGUGAGUAUAUAUUUACUGACAAACCGAUCAAUUCACUAGUGAUAAACCGAUAAUGCAUAUCAUUAUGACUCAUCUUCUUCUGCUUCUAACCCAGGUAUAACAAUGUCAAUAUUAAUGUAUCAGUGCAGACAGAAAAUGGACUUUAUGUCCCUGUGAUCAGGGUGCGCAAUCAUUUCAACUUAUUGCUGUUUUCCUCAUUCUGUCCGUACUUUUCUAGUUUAACUGAUCCCUUUAUUUUACGUAUUGCAGAAUGCAGAUAAGAAAGGAUUGUCCUCAAUUUCUUUGGAGGUCAAGCAGUUGGCACAAAAAGCCAAAGAAAAUAGCCUAAAACCCGAAGAUUAUGAGGUAAAUAAUUAUGGAUAGGAUAGUAUGAUAGUGUCAUUGGAUCUAUAUGGAUUAUAUACAUGUCGGGUUUUGUCUCUUUGCAGGGCGGUACGUUUACAGUUUCUAACUUGGGAGGGCCCUUUGGUAUCAAGCAAUUUUGUGCCAUAAUUAAUCCUCCUCAAUCAGGAAUCCUCGCUGUCGGGUCUGGUAAGAUUUUCCCUUAAAUUUUCCCAACUCAAGUCAUAUUCACUCCUCCUUCGUAAUCACUGGAAUUCACUGUGUACAGCUGAGAAAAGGGUUAUCCCUAGCUCCGGUCCCGAGCAGUUCCAGUUUGCAUCGUUCAUGUCCGUAACACUAAGCUGUGAUCAUCGUGUCAUCGACGGUACAUAGUUCUAGACUUCCAGUAAUAAAUGAUUAAGCCAAGUUAAACAUCGAACAUCAUCUCAGUGUCCUUUAGGCACACAAAUCUAAUUAACUCGACUUACUGUUCUCUUAGGUGCAAUUGGUGCUGAAUGGCUUAAAGCUUUCAAAGGCUACAUUGAGAAUCCGGAAUCAAUGUUGCUCUAAAUCAACCGGUGAUUCUGGCUUUUCUUUUUGGUUUUAGACACAUUUCCCUGCUAUGAUUAUUUUCACAAUGGGGCGUUGAGUGCAUUACACAUAUUCCGAAUCGAUUUUUGUCACACCGAAUUAAUAUUUUUCGGGAAUAAGGAAGAAGGAUCGAUAGACAAUCGAGGAACUGGAGUUCACCUCACAUAGAAUGUAAUAACCCCCAUUUCACAUAGGUCCCUUAUACUGUGAAUAAAACUUGGAAAUGAUUUUUCGGGUAUAGGCAAUUGCUAAACCCAUCACAUUUUCAUUGCUUUUUCUUAACUAUAAUCAGAAUGCUUCCACUUUGUUAUGAUUUAGCAUCAUUAUUCUUUUCUUUGUUUGAAUCAACAACUCCUAAGACCGAGAAAUUAAAUCUAGAAAAUCGUAUACUUAUUCGAACAGUAGUUUAGAUAUGUAAUAUUUUUCCAAUAAUAAACAAAACUCUCAAAAUUUCGUGUUACUACAAAUAUAUUUCUCUCAUUAUAAUACUUACUAUAAAUUUUGUAAUGGAUUAUGCAACAAAAAUUACAAUAUAUUACUCGAUUGUAUCAUUUAUUAUUGCCUGCAUAAUAUUUUGUGUAAAGUAGUGUUAUUACAAAAAAUUUCACCUUAAAUAUUACCUAAAUACACAAAUUAUUACGUCUCACCCUGAUGUAUGCUACACGAAAAUACACAUUCUAUUUUAAUAUUUUUCAUAACAUAAAAUUACAUUUUCACCCUUAUUUUGAUAAGUAUUAGUUCAAAUAGUUUAAUUAUGUCUUAACUAAAGUUCAAGUUUAAAAAUUAAUUCUCGAUUAAAUUCAAAUCGUGUAUUAAAUCUCAAAUUUUAAGUCAAAUUCAAGUUUAUAAUUACUCAAGUGUAGCUUGGUUAUAUAUAUUUAUAUGCUAUUAAAUUUUGAAUUGGUAUUUGGUACUUUAGUAGUAUUUUUUGUUAUAAGUAGCCUUGAAAAAUUGACAUUUAUCUCUUUUUUAAUAUUUUACAAUAAUCUAUAGGACACUUCUCAAUUUCCUCUACACAAGCAUAGCUAGGAUAUUGACAAGUAUUUUAUAUGAUUAUAGUAAAAUAUUAAAAAAUAAAUAUUUAAAAACACAAAUAGUAAUUUUUAAAUUACUUAUAAAAUAAAAAAAUACAUUAAUAAUGUAUCAAAUAGUAAUUUUAUAAAAUUUAAUAAUUACCAUGAACAAUAAAGCUAGUUUUUUUCAACCGGUUGGACCAAAACUUAGGUAAGAGAAAGUGAAAGGCUGGGCUUGAUCCGGCUGAUGAAACAUUUUAGUCAUAAAAGUCAACAAGUUUUCCUAAGCAUGUGCUGGGACACACGCAAUACUUUCAAUGGAUAUGGACUACACGUCAUCAACACAGUCACCCUCACGGAAACCGGUUUAAAUCCUCUGCAUCACCGCCUACGUUAUACAAAAUACAAAUAAUCCAAACAUUGGAAUUAACAAAGUGAAAUUAAAUAAAGAGAAAAAUCACUAUUUGAAUUUAAUUUGGCUACAACUUUUAUGUUAGAAUUUGAAGUUUUUUUUUCUAAAUUAGUCAUUAUUUUCAUAUAGAAGCUUAAAUUAAGUAAAUGUUUUUAUAUUGUUGAAUUUUUUUUUUAAAUUAGUCCUUGAACUUGACAAUAUUACCAAGUUGAAUCACCAGAGCUUUCUUUAAUAAAGUGUUAAAAAUUUAAUAUUUUCAAUAAUUUAGACACAUUUGAUAGCCCACAGUGAAAAUUAAAAACUACUGUUUUCUAUUAUAAAUAGUAGAAAAUGAUAAGUAGAUAGGCACUAUUCUGUAUUAAAUUUUAAACAAUUUACCCAACAAAGUUUAUAAUUUAAAUUUAACACUUAUUUUUCAAUUUAUUAAACAUAGCUUAACAACGGUUAAGUUUAGAGACUAAAUUAGAAAGAAAAAAAAUUUAGAUCCUAAUAUGACAAUAAUUACUAAAUUCAAACUAAAAAAAUUUAAAUAAAAAUCUAAUCAAAUCGACCUCUCGAAUCUCGAGACAUAAACAACUCUAGUGCAAAUUCACAAACCUACUAAGUUAUCAAUGGGUGAAAUUUGAUUCAUCUUAGAGAACCAACCGCAGAGAAUUAAAAAGCUUUAAAAUAAUGAUAUAUACACAUACAUAUACCUAAUCUAUAACCGACACUUGUCAGUUUCCCCUUCUUUUACUGUACAACAAAUUCUCUUCCUUCCUCAAAUCUUUCACCGUUAAUUUCCGGUCACCCACUUCUUUAAAUAACCCUAUUUUUUCCCUUCAGUUUUUCUAUUCUAUAUUUUUAAACUUCAUUUGUCACUAUUUUGCUCUCACUCUUGCGAGAUCCGAACUCACCGGAGUUCCGUCGCCGGCGGGGACGACGAUGGUCGAGUCUCCCGUUAGCUGAUUAAUAGAAAUCGUAUAUGUUCUAAAUUCGAUCGAUUAAUCAAUCUCUUUUUCUUUUAUCCCCGAAAGGAAAUGAUAGAUCCCUGUGCUGUAAUUAACGUUCGAUCCAAAACCUGGUUUCGCAAGAGAAAAAAAUCCCGUUCAUAAUUUUCAUUGUGACGGUGGUGUUGGGCUUUUCUCUAUUUGUAUAGUUUCAAUGUUAAUUUCUUGAUUUUUUUUUUGUAUAUAUUUCCGAUCAUACAUAUAUAGGUAGAUAUAUUGCUUCUUCUUUUUAAAAUUUUUUUGGGUAUUUUUAGGGUUAGGGUUUUUUCGAGUCUUUGAAAGUGGCAAAGAUGAAUAUAAGUGCGGCCGAGGAAGAUUCGGCGCAAGAGAUUCAUAUUCCGGCUGAUAUAAAUUGGGAAAUGCUUGAUAAAUCCAAGUUUUUCUUCUUAGGUGCGGCGUUAUUUUCCGGCGUAUCGGCGACCCUUUAUCCCGUAGUUUUAGUCAAAACACGGCAGCAGGUUGCUCAAGUAAAACUUUCCGGCAUCAGAACGGCGUUUUCCAUCGUUAAACAUGGCGGUUUCCAGGGAUUAUACCGAGGUUUCGGCACUUCAUUAAUGGGAACAAUCCCAGCUCGAGCACUUUACAUGGCUGCCCUUGAAGUAACCAAAAGUAAUGUAGGGAGCACCACUGUUAAAUUAGGGUUUCCUGAACCAACGGCAGCGGCGAUAGCUAAUGCGGUCGCCGGAUUAACCGCCGCGAUGGUGGCUCAACUUGUUUGGACCCCAAUUGAUGUGGUUAGCCAAAGGCUAAUGGUUCAAAGUAGCCCAUCACAAUGUAGAUAUGUAAAUGGGAUUGAUGCCUUUAGGAAAAUAGUGAACUCACAUGGUCCAAAGGGAUUAUAUAGAGGCUUCGGUAUAUCAAUUUUAACAUAUGCACCAUCAAAUGCAGUAUGGUGGGCAUCUUACUCAGUUGCUCAAAGACUUGUUUGGGGAGGCAUUGGAUGUUACUUAAAAGGCGGCAGGGAUGAAACAAUUCGGCCUGAUUCAAAGACGGUAAUGGCGGUUCAAGGAGCGAGUGCGGCAAUGGCAGGUGGGAUAUCGGCAUUGAUCACAAUGCCGCUCGAUACUAUCAAGACCCGGUUACAGGUCUUAGACGGAGAAGAGAACCGGCUGCGCGGACCGACAAUCGGGCAAACCGUGAGGAAUUUGGUUAAAGAAGGAGGAUGGCUUGCUUGUUAUAGAGGAUUGGGACCAAGGUGGGCUUCAAUGUCAAUAUCUGCAACAACAAUGAUCACUACUUAUGAGUUUUUGAAACGAUUAUCAGCUAAGAACCAAGAGGGCUUGUUGUAAAUGAAGAUCAAUAGGCUAUGUUACUCAAAUACGGGUAAAUAUUCAAUACAGAAAAUGAAGAGUUUGAGCAAUAUAUAACCAAAAAAAAAAAAAUGGAAAAACAUGUUUUUUUUUUUUUGCUUUGGGUUCUUUGAUUUUUGUCUAAAUUAUGCUUUGAUAUAUAUAUAUAACUUUAAGUCUAGCCUUGGUUUUGGUUGGUGAAUGUAAAUGUGGUUGCAGGUUUAAAUAUAAAAUAUACUUCCUCUACACUAGUUACCCUUUGGAUGAACUUAUGGUUUAUGAAGGAUUUUAAGAAAUUGUGAAAUUUUUUUUAUGUUAUUUAGAUUCAUAUGUUAAUAUUUUUUUUUAAAUAUAGGUUUAUUAUAAUAUCAUUUGUUUAAUUAUACGGAUAGUAAGCGAAUUCUUUUUAUUAAUUUAAGUUCGAUUUAAAAAUUAUAUAAAUCGAUAAUGACGAUAGGAAUGAUCGUAAAUUAAUAAAAAAAAUAAGAACAUGUUGAUUUUACAUAGAAAAUAUCACAGAUAAAAAGAGAAAUUUACUAAUAUUGAAAAAUGAUAAUAUGCAUAGUUUUUAAGGUUAAUCAACUCAUCUAAUAGAAGUAGUUCGGCCCUUAGACAUUCGUCCCCAUAAAUUAGAGAUGAUCAUGGGUUAAGUUAGGUCCAAACAAAAUUUUAAGCCCAUUUAUUAGUUUUGGGCCUAAUUUGGCCCAAAAAUUUGUCCAAGCCUGAUGGGAAUAAAAAUGUUAAAAUUAGGGCUCGACCUGGCCUGCUCAUAUUAUUAAAAAAAUAUAUUAUAUAUAUUUUUACAUAAUUUUUAAAUAUAUAUAAUAAUAAUAAAUACUAAAAAUAUUAAAAUAAAUAUUUCCGCACAAGUUGAAAAUAAAUUUUAAAAAUAUGUAUACUUAAAUAAUACAAUUAUAGAUGCAACUUAACAAAAAAAUGUCUCUAAAAUAAUAACAAAAUUAACAAUAAAACAAAUGUUAUAGUGUUAUACGAUAUUCAAACAAUAAUAACAAAAUUGUAGUAAUAUAAUAGUGAAAUGGUAGCAAAAUAGAAAAAAAAAAAGAAAAAGAAAAUACCAUUAAAAUGACAAAAAAAUACAAUUUUUUUUGUCAUUUAGUGAAUUCGAGUCAAGUUAGACUUGGGCCAAAAAUGUCUUACCUGAAGCUCGACCCAUUUUAAAAUAGACCUUAUUUUUUCCCAAAACCCAUUUUUCGGGCUAAUAUUUUUGCCCAAAGCCUCCCACUUUCAGGCGGGCAUUUCGGUCGAGCACAAAUAUCUAAUUUUGUCUUUCUAUUUUAUUUCUUUAACAAAUAAAUUAACCUGGUUAAACAAGAUUCGGAUCACAUAACUCUAAUAAUAUAUAUAUAUAUAAUCUAAAUUUCAAAGUUUUGACAAAAUACUAUAAUUAUUGGAACGAAAACUUCUCAGUAAUAGGAAUGACCGAAGAGAAAGUAGAUAAGUUGUCACUAAGCUAAUAGUUGGCAAAUUCUCGUGUUAACAUUAGAUAUCUAUAUUAUUUAAUAAUUUGAUUCAGUGCCAAUGGCUUAAAUUUAACUGUAAAAUUAUCAAAAAUUCAUUAUUUAAUUUUAAAAAACUGUACAUCUAAUAAAAUUUAAACUUAAAAUAUAAUUGCCUUUACCAUGUCAACUUCAUCGUUUCAACCUAAUCGGUAUAUGAUUAUCAUAUCAAACUUUUAUAAUAUAUUGCAUAAUUUUUUUUUCAAUUAGGUAAAUCAUAAUUUAUUAAAUAUAUAUUUAAAGAAAAUGCUUUUAUUUUUAAAAUUUUUAUACGUUCAAAGAAGUUUUGAAAGAAUAUGUUUACGAGACUAAGUUUGCUCAAUUGAUUUCAAAACUUUCAUGUAUUUAACAAGUAUCUUAUAAAUAAAUUAUAUUUGGAAGGAUAUGAGAAAUAAGAAUUUGCAGAAUCAUUUUAUUUUUCACUAAUUAGUUAUUUGUUUUAGAAAAGAAUAUAUAUUAUUCAAAUUCAAGAGUUAGUACUCACACACAAACCAUAAGGAUAUACUCACGUUACAUAUAUUACAUUCAAAAGAAAGCUAUUGAAAUAAAGUACUACAUGCGGGAUGAACAACUUAUAAUCACGAGACCAAAUAAAAAUUUUAAAAUCGAAUUCUAUAAUGACUAUUUCUAUUACAAUUAUCUUAUUUUUUUAAUCAAAACUUCAACUCCACUAAUCCAUCAUUAUCAGGUUUAUAGUUCACAGAAUAUAACAUUACACUUUAUAAUAAAAUUAUUGAAAUAUAAAAUCAUUUAACAUAUUUAUUAGGUAUACAAAUUUUGUUUGUUUCAUUGUCAAGAUAUAAAAUAAUUUAAAAGCAAAUUUUAUAAAAUAAUUUGUUUUUUAAAUUAUGAUUAUUGUUUAAUAAGCAAAAGUUAGGCUUAUUGUCUUUUAUUUCACAGUUGUGGUCCUUUAGUAAAUCAAUUUCAUAUAUUUUUUUCAGAUAAAUAAAAUAAAAUUGUGAAAAACAGUAAGCAAGUAAAAGUCUCCUUUUGUCAAAGUGACAAAAACAAGAGUAAAUUUGUUAUAAAAGUUGCAUGUCAACCAAAAUGGAAACUAAUAUAACAUUAUUAUCUACUAAUUUCUAUAUUAUACGUUAACCCACUAAUCUAAUACCCAAUUAUUUUACGAAAUAAUAAUAUAUUAUGUGAGUUUUUAUCUAUUUAUUUUUAUAUAAAUUUUUUUAAAAAUAUAUAUAUACUUAAUGAAAUUUGAAUUCAACUAAUACUUUAUUUAAUUUUUUUUAUUUUUUUAUAAAUAUAUUUGUUAAAUGAAAAUUAUUUCCAUAGUAACUUAAAUCUAGUAAAAAUAAAGAUAUUGCUAUUUUUUUUUAAUUGAUAUAAAACACUCAACCACAGAUAUAAAUUCCAUUUUUCACAAACUCAAUAACAUUACCAAUAACCAAUCAAACACAUAAAUCUUUUUUUUUAAUUAAAUAUUAAUUAUAUCUCGAAACUGACAUCCAAAUUCAAAUAUCAAACAAAUUCAUCAUCAUCCUUGAAGGUUAUUUAGCAAAGAAUGGGGCAAUUCAAUCAUCAAUGAAUGAAAAAAAGGACAAUAAUAUAAUAAUAUAAACACAAUACUAUCUUUGAACCACAAAUUGAUCCAAAACUAUCAAAAUAUUAAAAACAAACAAUCAGAGAGAGAAGUUCAGGUUAGUUGAGAAAAGCUAGAAAUUCAAAGACAUGGAUGAUAAUGAAGCAUAUAGAGGGGUUUUAUAAAAUUAUUUCCCAUGACAGAGUAUAAAUAUUACCCUGUAAGCUGGAAAUAUAUGAGGUGUUCAAGAAAAUAACCUAUCCCAUCUUUCUUGGGACGGCUACGGCUUUUGUUUCCACUUCAUCUGAGCAGUCACUUGAAACUUCUUUUUUAUUCUUUUUUGAGCAGAAGCACGGCUCCAUGAAUGCUGUCAGCGAGCUACUACUGGUUAAUAAUCUCGUCCUUUGUAUUGCAUGUCCUGCCAAAACAUAGUUCCAGUUUCUAUUAGGAUUCCCACAAGGACUGCAAUGUUUUUGGUACUAAAUGAAAUACCAAUACUGGUUUUUUCGAGGAAAAAAGAAGAAACUAGUCUAUAUUUAUCACGAUGUGAAAACCUAACCCGGUCAACAUGAACCUAAACCAGACCUAACCCCUAUUGACCAUAAAAGGCCGACAAGCCGAACAAAAAUGACAAAUCCAACCUGCCUAAUUGAUAGGUCUAGUUCCGGUGCUACUCAAACUCAGAAGCGAGUGCUAAAUGGGAGUCCGUGCCCAAAAGGGAUAUGCCAAAUAUUUUCAUGUUCCAUUGUGUAUUUUAAGGUGAAAUGAAGAGUUGGGAGUAACUAUACAAUUUUCCCUUCAGAGCAAACAAAUGAAAUUUAGGACGUAGUUUAAAGAAAAUUCUCUAGUGCCAUGUUCGGGAACAAGAUUUUGAAAUUUUGGAUUUGGAUUCGGU
rnacentral:lncRNA from 1 species